rnacentral:tRNA from 2 species
CGGAGAGAUGCCGGAGCGGCUGAACGGACCGGUCUCGAAAACCGUUGCGGGGGUAACUCCGCCGAGGGUUCGAAUCCCUCUCUCUCCGCCAC